AGCGAACGCUGGCGGCAGGCCUAACACAUGCAAGUCGAACGAACUCUUCGGAGUUAGUGGCGGACGGGUGAGUAACACGUGGGAACGUGCCUUUAGGUUCGGAAUAACUCAGGGAAACUUGUGCUAAUACCGAAUGUGCCCUUCGGGGGAAAGAUUUAUCGCCUUUAGAGCGGCCCGCGUCUGAUUAGCCAGUUGGUGAGGUAAAGGCUCACCAAGGCGACGAUCAGUAGCUGGUCUGAGAGGAUGAUCAGCCACAUUGGGACUGAGACACGGCCCAAACUCCGACGGGAGGCAGCAGUGGGGAAUCUUGCGCAAUGGGCGAAAGCCUGACGCAGCCAUGCCGCGUGAAUGAUGAAGGUCUUAGGAUUGUAAAAUUCUUUCACCGGGGACGAUAAUGACGGUACCCGGAGAAGAAGCCCCGGCUAACUUCGUG
rnacentral:rRNA from 1 species